rnacentral:rRNA from 1 species
UGCAAGUCGAACGAUCCAGCAAUGGAUAGUGGCAGAAGGGUUAGUAACGCGUGGGCAAUCUACCCUCGAUUCGGGGAUAACCUUCCGAAAGGAGGGCUAAUACCGAAUAACAUUCACCGAACGCAUGUUUGGUGACUCAAAGGCGGGGACCGCAAGGCCUGCCGAUUGAGGAGGAGCCCGCGUCCUAUCAGCUAGUUGGUGAGGUAACGGCUCACCAAGGCUUUUGACGGGUAGCUGGUCUAAGAGGACGAUCAGCAACACUGGGACUGAGACACUGCCCAGACUCCUACGGGAGGCUGCAGUCGAGGAUCUUUACCAAUGCUCGAAAGGGUGAGUAUGCGACGCCGCGUGCAGGAUGAAGGCCUUCGGGUCGUAAACUGCUUUCAGGGGUGAGGAAAACUUACGCGUGAACAGCGCGUGAGCUUGACGUUAACCCCAGAAGAAGCCACGGCUAACUCUGUGCCAGCAGCCGCGGUAAUACAGAGGUGGCAAGCGUUGUUCGGAUUUAUUGGGUGUAAAGGGUAGGUAGGCGGUUGCGUAAGUCUGUGGUGAAAUCCCGGAGCUUAACUCCGGAACUGCCAUGGAAACUGCGCGGCUAGAGUACCGGAGAGGUGAGGGGAAUUCCUGGUGUAAGGGUGAAAUCUGUAGAUAUCAGGAGGAAUACCGAUGGCGAAGGCACCUCACUGGCCGGUCACUGACGCUGAGCUACGAAAGCUGGGGGAGCAAACAGGAUUAGAUACCCUGGUAGUCCCAGCCUUAAACGAUGUAGAUUAGACGUCGGAGGAGUCGAUCCCUUCGGUGUCUCAGUUAACACAUUAAAUCUACCACCUGGGGAGUACGGUCGCAAGACUGAAACUCAAAGGAAUUGACGGGGACCCGCACAAGCGGUGGAGCAUGUGGUUUAAUUCGAGGCUACGCGAGGAACCUUACCUGGGCUUGACAUACUAGGAGUAGGCCUGAUGAAAGUCGGGCCGACUGUAUCCAAUCAGAGCUUAGUACAGGUGCUGCAUGGCUGUCGUCAGCUCGUGCUGUGAAGUGUCGGGUUAAGUCCCACAACGAGCGCAACCAUUGCCGUUAGUUGCCAGCGGGUAAUGCCGGGGACUCUAGCGGGACUGCCUGUUUUAAGCCGGAGGAAGGUGGAGAUGACGUCAAGUCAGCAUGGCCCUUACGCCCAGGGCUACACACGUGCUACAAUGGCCGGUACAAUGGGCAGCGAACCCGCGAGGGGGAGCAAAUCUCAAAAAGCCGGCCCCAGUUCAGAUUGCAGGCUGCAAUUCGCCUGCAUGAAGCCGGAAUCGCUAGUAAUGGCGUAUCAGAUAUGACGCCGUGAAUACGUUCCCGGGUCUUGUACACACCGCCCGUCAAGCCACCUGAGUCGGUGGUACCCUAAGUCGUUUACCCAACCGCAAGGAGGGAAACGCCCAAGGUAAAACCGGUGAGGAGGGCUAAGUCGUAACAAGGUA